CUCUUAAAGGUGAUCUGUUUCGUUUCAGGUUGUCAUUUGAAGAACUGCAAAUAACAGCACACAUUUAUGGCCUGAAUGCAUUAUGUGCAAAAUGUUUUAUUUCAGGAUCAUUUUCAAUUGGUCUUAAAGGUACCAUGUCACAUGACCUUGCUAAGUAAUUCUUUAUUGGUUUUCACUUAGCAAGCUCUUGAGUUAAGAGCAAAGUGCAUUCCUUUCACCUUUAAUUGGUGUGCUACAGCAUUUUAAAUGCAAACAUGAUUUAUGGAAGACAUAACCUCCCCUCCAAACCCCAUGUAUUAUCACUGCAUAUUACUACCUGCCUAGUGUAAUUGUUUGCACAGCUGGUUGGGUCAACCAGCUAGCAGGAGUUUAGUGCUCCUUAUUACAGAACAACUACAAAUCUCCAACAAAAGUGUUCCCAUGUAUAUUUGCAGAUAAAAUGGCCCUUAUUCAUUACCGAGGAAGCAGAGUUGAAACAUAUACUGGUUUUCUAGAUGGCACUUGUGAUACAAACACGUUUGAAAGGCUGGUUGUUAAUAGCUUUCACGGCAUGCACAGGGAUUUCAUGGGCUAGGUCAAGUCUGGAAUUUACAAAACUUACUUCAAUACCCCAAUCCAGUUGGGAUUUGAUCUGCAAUGAUGCAUUUCUUUAAAUCAAGGUCACUGGAAGGGUCACACUAGGUCCUUCACAACUAGGGAGUGAGAAUAACACAUCCAAGGAAUGUUCCACUAUUUUCCAUAACCCAUACAUAGGAAGGCCAUCUAUUGUGGUGUAUUGAUUUCAUUCUUCUGUUAACAUGAAGAGUAAGCUCCAUCAACAGAGGAAUCUGUGAUACUGGCCACUGCAGUUAUUGGUGUUCAGCCUUCAUUAUUGUUACAUUGGGAAGCUUAACAAGGCUUCACCGUGGGUUAUCAGUGCCUGGGGUACACUUUCCAUAGUGGAAGCGGCAAUGGUGCAAUGCUGGAUGACAGAUGUGGUUCAUAGUUAUACCCCCUUAGCCAGGCCAUAUUGGAUUAGUCUAUGUACAAUGUUGCGUAAAGGCGGGGGGGGGGAGCAGGGAUUGGAUGUUAUGUCGGUUGGAUAACCUAUCGAGUUGAGGGUGGACAGGGCGUAAGUACCCUAGACUAGCUGAGAUGUUUAACUAAAGCUGAACAAAUCACAAACUAAACGGUAAAAGAAACAUGUUGCAUGCACGUUGUGCUUAAUUGGGUGAGUCAGGUAGUGUCCGCUGCAGGAGGGUCCCUAUUGGGCUUCGUGGGAAUGAACGGUGUCACCACUGCCGGAUUCCACCUGUGGGGUGUUUGUUCUGCCGCACGGUCCCCAUGUGUAACACAGUGUCCUGAGGUAUGUUCAGGGAGGUCAGCAGCGCUUUAACUUUGGCUAUAUCAUGUAAUAUGUGUUUAUCUUCAUCUUUGAGGACCAGGAGCGUAUGGGCGGAACGCCAUCUGUAUUAAAUUUGAUGGUGUCUUAGCAGAAUCAUGACAGGAGCUAGUGUGCACCUCCACGCCAUAGUCCACCUGAGAGGUCCGCAAAGAAAGUGAGAGACAUGUUCUCGAAGGUGUAGGGUGUACGAACCCGCACUGCUGCCACCACCGCGGCCUUGUCCUUGUGGUGUUGGAAGCGGACUACCAGUUCUCUAGGUGUCUUACCCGGGGCUUUGGGCAACUUGUUGGAUUGAAAUAUUUCCUACAGCUCCACCGCUUUUCCCUGCCUUGGGGGCAACAGUGCAGCGAACAGGUGUUUCAGGAGAUGGGGCAGCUCUGCUGGUGGUACAUCUUCCCUGAUGCCUUUAAAUUUGUCUUGCGCCGCAAGUCUUCUAUCUCUGCAAAAUGUCGGUCAUACCUUUCGUUUUGGCACUGCAGGUCUUUGACUGUUUGCUGCAGAGAGGUGAUUUUUUGGGCUUGCUCCCCAGCAUUGUUCUCCAGGGUCCCCAGUCUGCUCAACAGUCCCCUGAUGUCCUUGCAGAUUUUGGAGGUGUCCGCCAGUAUAGUGGCCUGGAGUUCCAACAGGAGUGUCUUUAGGACCGUUGUGGUCACCGGUGUGGAGUCGGGUGUCCCUGGUGCUGGGUACUGAGGCCGCGGUGCUGGAAGCUCCUCCAUAUCCUCCUUGAGUGAGAAGUCAUCAGAGAACUCAGAGUAGGCCUCUGGGUAGAUGGUCAUCUUGGGCCCAACCGCGCCGCUAGCUUGGGGGAGAAGAUCCUCAAAGUGCAGGCCCAGUCUCGGCUUGCCAGGCUUCAGUGUUUUAUUUUUGCACCCCAUUUCGAUUCCCCGAUGUUAGGAGAGGUCAUCCGGACCAGUAAGUUGGGUCUUUGGGCCGUAAAAAGGGUAAAAAUAUCCCUAUUAUCACGGAGCUCACUCGGAAUGUGACUGCUCAG
rnacentral:lncRNA from 1 species